GAUGAACGCUGGCGGCGCGCCUAAUACAUGCAAGUCGAGCGAACGGACGAGAAGCUUGCUUCUCUGAUGUUAGCGGCGGACGGGUGAGUAACACGUGGAUAACCUACCUAUAAGACUGGGAUAACUUCGGGAAACCGGAGCUAAUACCGGAUAAUAUUUUGAACCGCAUGGUUCAAAAGUAAAAGACGGUCUUGCUGUCACUUAUAGAUGGAUCCGCGCUGCAUUAGCUAGUUGGUAAGGUAACGGCUUACCAAGGCAACGAUGCAUAGCCGACCUGAGAGGGUGAUCGGCCACCCUGGAACUGAGCCACGGUCCAGACUCCUACGGGAGGCAGCAGUAGGGAAUCUUCCGCAAUGGGCGAAAGCCUGACGGAGCAACGCCGCGUGAGUGAUGAAGGUCUUCGGAUCGUAAAACUCUGUUAUUAGGGAAGAACAUAUGUGUAAGUAACUGUGCACAUCUUGACGGUACCUAAUCAGAAAGCCACGGCUAACUACGUG
rnacentral:rRNA from 1 species